rnacentral:precursor_RNA from 1 species
UCAGCGGCCGGCUCUGAUCUCCAUCCUCCCUGGGGCAUCCUGUACUGAGCUGCCCCGAGG